UGGGGAAUAUUGGGCAAUGGGGCGCAAGCCUGACCCAGCAACGCCGCGUGAAGGAAGAAGGCUUUCGGGUUGUAAACUUCUUUUGUCAGGGACGAGUAGAAGACGGUACCUGACGAAUAAGCUCCGGCUAACUACGUGCCAGCAGCCGCGGUAAUACGUAGGGAGCAAGCGUUGUCCGGAUUUACUGGGUGUAAAGGGUGCGUAGGCGGCAAAGCAAGUCAGAUGUGAAAUGUAUGGGCUCAACCCAUGAACUGCAUUUGAAACUGCAUUGCUUGAGUGAAGUAGAGGCAGGCGGAAUUCCCUGUGUAGCGGUGAAAUGCGUAGAGAUAGGGAGGAACACCAGUGGCGAAGGCGGCCUGCUGGGCUUUAACUGACGCUGAGGCACGAA
rnacentral:rRNA from 1 species